rnacentral:rRNA from 1 species
CCUACGGGAGGCAGCAGUGGGGAAUUUUCCGCAAUGGGCGAAAGCCUGACGGAGCAAUACCGCGUGAGGGAAGACUGCCUAUGGGUUGUAAACCUCUUUUUUCAGGGAGGAAUAAAAUGACGUGUACCUGAAGAAUAAGCAUCGGCUAACUCCGUGCCAGCAGCCGCGGUAAGACGGAGGAUGCAAGUGUUAUCCGGAAUCACUGGGCGUAAAGCGUCUGUAGGUGGUUUAAUAAGUCAACUGUUAAAUCUUGAGGCUCAACUUCAAAACCGCAGUCGAAACUAUUAGACUAGAGUAUAGUAGAGGUAAAGGGAAUUUCCAGUGGAGCGGUGAAAUGCGUAGAUAUUGGAAAGAACACCGAUGGCGAAAGCACUUUACUGGGCUAUUACUAACACUCAGAGACGAAAGCUAGGGUAGCAAAUGGGAUUAGAUACCCCAGUAGUCCUAGCCGUAAACUAUGGAUACUAGAUGUUGAACAGAUCGACCUGUGCAGUAUCAAAGCUAAACGCGUUAAAGUAUCCCGCCUGGGAAGUAUGCUCGCAAGAGUGAAAACUUAAAGGAAAUUGACGGCUGAGAGUGCGACGACGACACGAGGAGAG